rnacentral:rRNA from 1 species
AGGGGCACUAAUGCUAAAACUAGUAAUAAGAAGUUAUUCUCCAUGCACCCCCAUCAAUCAGAAAUAGAUAAGCUACUGAAAAUUAAACAAACUACACAAUAGAAACAAAAUUCUAUCCCAAGUUAUUUUUUUACACAAUUUGUGACACCAACACAGGAGUGCUAAAAGGAAAGAUUAAAAGCCUAAUAAGGAAUUCAGCUAAUCGGACCCCAACUGUUUACCAAAAACAUAGCCUUUAGCCAAACAAGUAUUAAAGGUCUAGCCUGCCCAGUGAAUUAUUUCAACGGCCGCGGUAUCCUAACCGUGCAAAGGUAGCGUAAUCAUUUGUCUUCUAAAUAGAGACUUGUAUGAACGGCUAACUGAGGGCCCAACUGUCUCCUUAGACCAAUCAAUGAAACUGAUCUUUCAGUACAAAAGCUGAAAUAAACACAUAAGACGAGAAGACCCUGUGGAGCUUAAAACCUACACUAUAAACGCCCACCCAUCCCUAAAGGGACACCUUCCUCCCCAUAGUAAAAAGUUUUUAGUUGGGGCGACUUUGGAACAAAACAGAACUUCCAUGCCAGGGACCCAUCCCUAUAAAGGCUUACAUGCCAAA